GUAGGGUGCGAGCGUUGUCCGGAUUUAUUGGGCGUAAAGGGCUCGUAGGUGGUUGAUCGCGUCGGAAGUGUAAUCUUGGGGCUUAACCCUGAGCGUGCUUUCGAUACGGGUUGACUUGAGGAAGGUAGGGGAGAAUGGAAUUCCUGGUGGAGCGGUGGAAUGCGCAGAUAUCAGGAGGAACACCAGUGGCGAAGGCGGUUCUCUGGGCCUUUCCUGACGCUGAGGAGCGAAAGCGUGGGGAGCGAACAGGCUUAGAUACCCUGGUAGUCCACGCUGUAAACGGUGGGUACUAGGUGUGGGUCCAUUCCCACGGGUUCCGUGCCGUAGCUAACGCUUUAAGUACCCCGCCUGGGAAUACGGCCGCAAGGCUA
rnacentral:rRNA from 1 species